GUGUUUCAAAAUAUGAAGAUUAAACAAAAUAUAUUGAUGUGAUAAUAAUUGAAGGAAAGGUUAGUGACAAAUAGGAUGUUCUUGUUAUAGCAAAAGGGUAGAAAAAGUUGAGCAAUAAUGUGUUUCCCGAACACACUCGAAAGUAUACCAAACAACAAGUAUUCAAGAUGGAUCCACUCAAAUAUAGGUCUCGGUAAUGAAUCAGGGACCUAUAAAGGAUUAAACAGAUCCGAACUUCGGCCUGAGAAG
rnacentral:lncRNA from 1 species